rnacentral:rRNA from 1 species
AGUGAACGCUGGCGGUAGGCCUAACACAUGCAAGUCGAACGGCAGCACAGUAAGAGCUUGCUCUUACGGGUGGCGAGUGGCGGACGGGUGAGGAAUAUAUCGGAAUCUACUUUUUCGUGGGGGAUAACGUAGGGAAACUUACGCUAAUACCGCAUACGACCUACGGGUGAAAGCAGGGGAUCUUCGGACCUUGCGCGAUUGAAUGAGCCGAUGUCGGAUUAGCUAGUUGGCGGGGUAAAGGCCCACCAAGGCGACGCUACGUAGCUGGUCUGAGAGGAUGAACAGCCACACUGGAACUGAGACACGGUCCAGACUCCUACGGGAGGCAGCAGUGGGGAAUAUUGGACAAUGGGCGCAAGCCUGAUCCAGCCAUACCGCGUGGGUGAAGAAGGCCUUCGGGUUGUAAAGCCCUUUUGUUGGGAAAGAAAAGCAGCAGGUUAAUACCCCGCUGUUCUGACGGUACCCAAAGAAUAAGCACCGGCUAACUUCGUG